CUCUGGUAUUGAUUGGUGCUUGCAUCAUGAUUUACAUUUGAGUGAGUGGCGAACUGGUGAGUAACACGUGGGAAACCUGCCCAGAAGCGGGGGAUAACACCUGGAAACAGAUGCUAAUACCGCAUAACAACUUGGACCGCAUGGUCCGAGUUUGAAAGAUGGCUUCGGCUAUCACUUUUGGAUGGUCCCGCGGCGUAUUAGCUAGAUGGUGGGGUAACGGCUCACCAUGGCAAUGAUACGUAGCCGACCUGAGAGGGUAAUCGGCCACAUUGGGACUGAGACACGGCCCAAACUCCUACGGGAGGCAGCAGUAGGGAAUCUUCCACAAUGGACGAAAGUCUGAUGGAGCAACGCCGCGUGAGUGAAGAAGGGUUUCGGCUCGUAAAACUCUGUUGUUAAAGAAGAACAUAUCUGAGAGUAACUGUUCAGGUAUUGACGGUAUUUAACCAGAAAGCCACGGCUAACUACGUGCCAGCAGCCGCGGUAAUACGUAGGUGGCAAGCGUUGUCCGGAUUUAUUGGGCGUAAAGCGAGCGCAGGCGGUUUUUUAAGUCUGAUGUGAAAGCCUUCGGCUCAACCGAAGAAGUGCAUCGGAAACUGGGAAACUUGAGUGCAGAAGAGGACAGUGGAACUCCAUGUGUAGCGGUGAAAUGCGUAGAUAUAUGGAAGAACACCAGUGGCGAAGGCGGCUGUCUGGUCUGUAACUGACGCUGAGGCUCGAAAGUAUGGGUAGCAAACA
rnacentral:rRNA from 2 species